CAACCUCUUAAAAUGAAAAAAAAUUUAUUUAAGUCUUUUAAUUUUUUUAAAAUUAAAUUUCGGCCUUCUCUAAAAAAAAUUUCUAGGUUCAUCUCUGGCUAAAAUGUCACAGUAGCACAAACAAAUGGUGCUAGUGUAGAAGGACUAACCUAAUUGAUGAAAUACAUGUUCAAGGAUCAACUAAGUUCAAAAAAGUUUUAAGGACCAACUAAGUACAAAUAGACAAUUUCAAAGACCAAAUUAUAUAUCUCUAUCUGAUAUUUGUAUAAAGCGUCUCUCACUUUUAGUAAACUUUAGAUCAGAUACUUAAUAAAAUUAUAUAUAAUCCAUGAAAGAUCUAUCAAUAGUUUGGUCACAACUCAAUGAUGGAUAAAUUUUCAUUAUAAUAUAUAUAUAUAUAUAUAUAUAUACUUACAUGUGAAUGACAUGGCAGGUAGUGUUAUUGUUGAAGGAGCAAUCACAAGUAACAUUAUUAUCAUAAUAACGUGUGGAUUGGUUCAACCAAGUAUCACCUUGAUCGCAUGGAUUAAUAUCAAAGUUCCAGUCUGUCUUCCCCAAUGUUUUACCAAUACUUCUCAAAGCUUCCACUAUAACAAAAGAAAAAAGGUACUGAAAUUUAUUAAAAGAAAUAAUUAAGCAAAUUAAGCUUCUUUCUAGAGUAAUAUUAUGAAUUACCUUCAUCAUUUGGAAGUGUAGCUCCAUUUGUAAGAGUUGUGAGGCAACACACUAUGAAUAUUGAAGCAAAAAGGAGUCGAUGAAUGAACAUGUUGGAGGAUUUUUGGAGAGGGAUACUAGAGCUCCUUUUUGCUUGAUUUGAAUGAACAAAAAAUGGAUUGAAAGAUUGGGUUUUUCAUAAAGAUAUUAGACCAUGAAAUUUUGGGAAGUUUCUUUGAAAAUGAAUCAAAAAGCAAGAGGAAGAAAAUCAUCCGGCCGCCUAUGGAGAAAAAUGGAAAAAGAGAGGUAGAGUGGACACUUUAGUUUGAGAUAUGAAAAAUGUUCAAUUAUUGUACUGUUUCUGGAUGUUUUGUAUGACUUUGCAAAUGAAAAUACUUUAUUAUAUUAGCAAGUUGUUAAAAUAUCUUGCAUGGGAGGUCCCAUACUUGUACGUUGAAGCGGAAAAUGUUUAUUCAGAAAAAAAAAACUAAAUAUUUAUGAAUAGGGUCAAAAUUUAAUUUGAGAAAUAAUUACAUACUCAUAUUCAAUUUGAGUUGACUAUUUUUUUAAUAUUUGAUAUAAUAUUAGAAAAAAUUAAUUUCAUAAGAAAGGUUGAAAUACUGUCUGUAUAUAAACAAAUUUUCUUUCAAGUAUUUUUAAAUUGAUUUUAAAUUGGAGCUUGUUGUCACUUCAUGUUGUUUAUUUGCUGAAAUAUAAAACUAUAAUGAAAGUACUUGAUUAUAGUAGUCACUAGGGCUUGGUAUUGAGAAAAAUCGUGCAAAUAAAAUAAAAAUAACACAGAGGUUUAUUUACAUAGUUCGAUUUUCCUAUGUUUGCGAAGUCUAGUUUAGUGAGUAAUUUCAUUAUCUUUAAAUACGGAUACAACAAAUGAUUCACACUCCAUCACUCCCCAAGUAUAGAGAUCUCAUAUUUAUACCAAAAAACUAGAAUACUAACUCCAAAUCCCCUUCGAGAACUUGGGCAUCAAACACCCUCAAUAAUCUUUACAAUAUAAUUUACUCUCUCUCAUAAAACUGUUAUUUAAUGAAUAGAUUCGAAUACACUCAAUAAAUUUUUAUACAAAAUUUAUACAAAAUCCACGAUGUCCAAAGCACGGUAGAAAAUGAAUCCAAAAUAAAAUCAGAUUUAUUCCUCAAUCUUUUGAACUAGUAUUUAACAAAAGAGGGCAAUGAUAUGAUAAAUGACCUAAUUAAUAUCAGGGUGAUACCUUGAGAAUGUCUAUUGACUUGCAAAAGUUUUACAUUCCAACUUGCUAUUAUACAUAUAUAUAUAUAUAUAUAUAUGAAUAGUAACUGAAAUAUUGUUACCUUCAAAAAAAAAAUUGAAAUAUUUUUAUAAUAUAUUAUUUGAUAGUGCAGAAAUAGUUGACUUGUCUUUCGGUUGUGUCUGGAAGAGAUUUUUUCCAUUUAGGAGAGCUAAGCUCUACUUGAAUUAUCAAUAAAUUAAUUUCAAUUAGUUGGCUUUAAAAUAUAAAUAUCAUUAAAAAUAAAAUUAUUUUUUAAUAUUUAAUAAUUAUAGGACCUUAUUUAUACUUGAAGGAUUAAGCAGCUUGGUAGGCCCAAUCUUGAAUAAGGAAAUUUUAACUUUUGUGUAGGCACGAUCUGGAUUUAAUUUGUAUUUAUUAAUUAAAUUUAUUUUAUUUAAGUUUAAAUCUAAAAAUAUAAAAAUUAAAAAAAUAUAUAUGUUUUGAAAUUUUCAUAUAUGAAUAGUGAAUUUUGGUUGAUAGGCUGGGUGAAAAAUUAAACCAUAUAAUAAAUAUAUUAAUAAAAAAUAAUAGAUAAACAAUAAAUGAUGUUUUGAUUGAAUGGUAAUAUAAAAAUCUAAAAAAAUUUAAAGAGACAUGAUUUUUUUUUUAAAUUAAACAGAUGAGUUUAAAUCUUAUUAUAUGUAUUUAUUUUUCUAUAUAAAAUAUAUAAAAUGAUAAAAAUAUUCUAAAUAUAAUACAGUUUAUUUUAUAAAGUGACAUCAAUUUAAUAAGAGGUUUUAUAAUAAGUAUAGAUUUGAAAAGGAAGAAUUACAUACAAUAAGAAAAAAAAAAUUAGUUUAAUAAGUUUUUAUGUUCUUUUGUAAUCGAUAAUUUAAAUUUGUUUAAUUCAAUCAUUAGACGUAUUUAAAAGUUGAUUAAUUGUUGGAACAAAAGUCCAAAAUUUAGGAGAGUAAUAAGCCCAAAACAUGACCCAAUUAAUAGCCCAACACUCAAACAUGCCCUAUGUUAAAUUCUUUUUAUUUUUAAUGACAAAAUUAUGGCAGAUUGGGUCUGCCUUUUGGGUAUUUUCGUUCGUUCGGGCAAGCAAAUAUUCGGCCAUAUUUUUGCUCAUUGUCCAUUGUUGUGGAAAUUUAAAAUUUUAACUCUUUAUUUAAAAUCAAAAGCGCUUAAUCAUUAUAUAUGUAUACUAUUGUCAAUAGACAUCUUUUAUCAAUUUGAAUAUGAUGUAUAUGAUAAUUAUAUUAGUCUAACACGGCACUGUAAUACUCAUACUAGAAACACAAGGCUCACUUGCUUGAAUUUCUGAAGUGAUUUGUGCAUCAUAUGUGGGAGUUGGCCUCGUACCUGGAAGCUUCGGCAAUGGUGCUUCGAAAUUAAUAACCUGAAUUGUUUGCCUUAUAGACGGUCUUAAAUGCUGGUCUGGAUGGACGCACCACAGUCCAACCAUUAACAAGCAUUCCAUUUGUUUAGCAUCAAAGUUCAUACAUAGUUUUGGGUCAGCUACAUCAGGCAACCGUUGGCUUCCAUAUGCAUUCCACACCCACGCUACCAACGAAGCUUGAGAUUCUUCAUAUUUGGGCUCUAUUGAUCUUCUGCCACAUGCAAUCUCUAGUGCCACAACUCCAAAACUGUAGACAUCCGAUUCCUUGCUAGCCUUUCCCGAUGAAACGCAUUCAGGUGCCAAAUAGCCCAUAGUCCCAGCUAAAUGGGUGGUUUGUGACGCUUUUGCAUGAUCCACUAGCCUAGCAAGCCCGAAAUCCCCAAGUUUAGCAUUGAAACUAGAAUCUAACAUAAUGUUGCUCGCUUUGAUAUCUCUGUGUAGUACGCAAUGGUCACCUUCUUCAUGUAGAUAGAAUAGUGCUGAUGCCAGGUCCUGCACAAUUUUAAAUCUCACUUCCCAAGUCAAUAAGGUUUUACCUUUAAAAAGAUGGGAAUCUAGACUGCCAUUAGCCAUCAACUCAUAAAUAAGUAUAAGUUCUCCUUUUUCAUGAUACUGACCAAUAAGCUUUACAAGAUUCUUGUGCCUUGAUCGGCUAAUAAUCUUCACUUCAGAUGUAUAUUCCUUAAUUCCUUGCUUAGAGGCCUUUGAAAUCUGUUUAACAGCAACAUAAGUAUCCAAGUCCUUUAAGUACCCUUUAUAAACUACACCAAACCCUCCUUCUCCUAGUUUUUCACCGUUGAAAUUAUUGGUCAUUUUAGCUAUUUGUACCAAGGAAAACUUCCUAAGUUCCAUCCCAUUUUGGAAUUCAUCGCUGUUGAAGCUGAUCUCCAUGCAACUGGUAUGAAGCAAAUGUAGCUGGAAGUUGGCCUUGCAAGCUCGUGACAAGGUUGCAGCAACUAUGGUUACUUGUUGCUGUUAGUUUUCAACUAAUGUUUUGUUAUUUUGUAAUCUAGUUUGUCUCUUGAACUUAGUUGGUAAUAUUUUGAUGUAAUCCAUUGAUUGAUUGACUGAAAUUUCAACAAUACAACUUGGACAAUUAAUUUAGCUAUUUUCAAUGUAAUAGAAUGGGGUUAGGUGUGUGAUUUGGUAGUCAUUUUGACUUGUACACUACAUCUUCUUUUGAUAUAUGUAAUGGCAAUCUGCCUAUGAUGGAUGUAUGAAAAAAAAAUACACUUCAUUUUUAUCAAUACUCUCAACUAUUCUUCAUUGCUUCUUAUUCUGUUUUUCCUUUUCUUCUUUUCCUUUGCUCGAUUCCCUCUUGUUUGUUCAGCAAGUAUCGUGACUUGCUGCAAAAGCCAAAGCCAUACUAGCUGCUUGCUUGCUAGAUAACACCAACAAUUGGUAUCUAGAGCCUUUGUCUUUGAGGACCUGUUCUACUUGACUCAAAAACUUGAAUGGCUUCUGCUAGCUUCUCUCCAGCAGCACCACCAGUCUUCACUGGUGAAGGCUUCCAUAUUUGGCUGGUCAAGAUGAGAACAUACCUUCAGGCGUUUGAUCUGUGGGAAGUGGUGAACUCUGAUGUUGAGCCAGCUCCAUUGAGGGCCAAUCCUACGGUGGCUCAGAUGAGGCAACAUGCAGAUGAGAGGACCAAGAAGCACAAGGCCAUGUCCUGUAUUCAGAACUGUGUUUCUGAUGUGAUCUUCACCAGGAUCAUGACCUGUGAGACCCCGAAGCAGGCUUGGGACAAGCUUAAGGAGGAGUUCCAGGGAACUAAGAGGACCAGGCAGCAGCAGUUUCUAAAUUUGAGAAGGGAUUUCGAGAAUCUGAAAAUGAAAGAAGAGGAAACUGUCAAACAAUAUUCUGACAGGAUAAUGACUGUUGUAAACAGUAUAAGGCUCCUAGGUGAGCAGUUUGAUGAAGUAAGGAUAGUUGAGAAGGUUCUCUCUACUUUACCAGAGAGAUAUGAGGCAAAGAUAUCCUCCUUAGAGGACUCGAGAGACUUGACAAUGAUCUCCCUAACUGAGCUUAUCAAUGCUCUUUAUGCUCAGGAGCAGAGAAGAGCCAGCAGGAUCGACGAGCACCAGGAGGGUGCAUUUCAGGCCAAAAGCAAGCCUAGCUCGAGUAAUGCUGCCUACAAAGGCAAGAAAAACUGGAGGGAUAAAUCCAAAGUUGAUGCCUCAAAAAAAUGGGACAGACCAUGCAAGCACUGCAAAAGGCCCGGUCAUCCAGAGGCCAGAUGCUGGUUUAGACCAGAUGCCAUAUGUCAACAUUGCAAGAAAAGAGGCCAUGUUGAAAGGGUUUGCAAAGAAAAAGACAAACCUGCCCAGAAUCAACCACAACACAAGGCUGCUGAGGCUCAAGUAGCUGAACAAGGCAGUGAUAGUGAAGAACAAGUGUUUGCAGUCUCAUGUUUAGCUGCAAAAGGCAAGGUUAAAAAAGGAUGGCUCCUUGACAUUGGCUGCACCAACCACAUGUCACCAGAUGCAACUAUCUUCAAAACUCUAGAUAGAAGCUGUAAGACUAGAGUAAAAAUUGGAGAUGGACACUGUAUUCAGGCAGAAGGCAUAGGUGAUGUGAUAAUAUGCACUCCAUUAGGUAACAAACUCAUCCCAAAUGUACUGUUUGUACCUGAAAUUGAUAGAAAUUUGUUGAGCAUAGCUCAGUUGCUGGAAAAAGGAUAUACUGUGGUCUUUAAAGGAAAGGAGUGCCAAAUCAGUGACCAAAAAAGGUCCAUACUCAUGAAAGUGGCCAUGUCUGACAAGAGUUUUGUUGUGGACUGGAAUAAGGACCUAGAUAGUACCUAUGCUGCUUCCAUAGAAGAAUCCAAGCUUUGGCAUCAAAGGCUUGGUCAUGCUAACUAUAAAUCAAUGGCUCGAAUGGUCAGCAAGGAUAUAGCUGAAAACUUCAUUAAAUCUGUUCAAAAUGAAGACGUGUGUGAAGUUUGUCAGUUGGGAAAACAAGCCAGGCUUCUAUUUCCUACAAACACAGCCUGGAGAGCCUCAGAGAAACUUCAAUUAGUGCACACAGAUGUGUGUGGCCCUAUGAAGUCUGAGUCACUCAAUGGCAGCAGGUACUUCAUUCUUUUCAUUGAUGAUAGUACCAGAUACUGCUGGAUUUACUUCUUAAAGAAUAAGACUGAAGUUGUUCAAGCCUUCCUGAAGUUUAAAACAGCAGCUGAAACAGAGACUGGCUGUAAACUAAAGUCUAUAAGAUCAGACAAUGGGACAGAAUAUAUUUCAGCUCAGUUCCAAGACACUUGUGCAAGAGCUGGCAUUAAACAUCAACUAACAAAUGUGUACACACCUCAACAAAAUGGGGUAAGUGAAAGAAAAAAUAGAAGCCUACUUGAUAUGGCUAGAUGCAUGAUAUUUGAGAAGAACUUACCCAAAAAUUUAUGGGCUGAGGCAGUAAAUACUGCUGUUUAUGUUCAAAACAGACUUCCAACCAAAGCUUUAGAGCAAAGGACUCCAUUUGAGGCUUGGUUUGGAUUCAAGCCAUCACUGGCUCACUUAAGAAUCUUUGGUUGCUUAUGCUAUUCACAAGUUCCAGCUGUGAAAAGAAGUAAGUUUGACAAAAGAGCACAAGCAGGCAUCCUGGUAGGCUAUAGCUCAGAGAAAAAAGGCUAUAGGAUCUUGGAUCCUUCAACAAACAAAGUAUUUGCAAGUAGAGAUGUUGUGUUCAAUGAGAGAGCAAGUUGGAAUUAGGACAAGAAUGAACCUGAAGCUGUCUCUGAAGAACUUGUGGUUGAUCAAACAGAGCCAGAAGAAAAUAGUCCUGAUAUGGACUUUGAUGAUGUGCCAAUCAGAGGUACCAGAUCCUUGGCUGAAAUUUAUGAGAGGGCACAUAUAGCCUUAGUAGAGCCAACCUGUUUUGAAGAGGCUGUGAAGCAUGAAGGCUGGAAACAGGCAAUGGCAGAUGAAAAUGCCAUGAUCGAGAAGAACCAGACUUGGAAGCUGGUUGAGAAGCCUGCUAACAAGAAGAUUAUUAGAGUAAAAUGGGUCUACAAGGCCAAGCAGAAUGCUAAUGGAAGUCUGAAUAAACUGAAGGCUAGACUUGUGGUAAAAGGAUUCAGUCAAAAAUAUGGACUGGAUUACUUUGAAUCAUAUACUCCUGUUGCCAGAUUGGAUACGAUUAGGCUGAUUGUUGGAUUGGCUGCUCAUAUGCAGUGGAAUGUCUAUCAACUAGAUGUGAAAUCGGCCUUUCUAAAUGGAAUCCUUGAAGAGGAAAUUUAUGUCGAGCAACCAGAGGGAUUUGAAGUACCUGGCAAGGAAGACUGGGUUUACAGACUAAGAAAGGCCUUAUAUAGCCUAAAACAAGCACCCAGAGCAUGGUAUGCUAGAAUUGACUCUUAUCUGCUCAGUUUGAAGUUCGAGAGAAGUGCUAGUGAGCCAACGUUGUAUGUCAAGAAGAAUAAAACUGAAACUCAGCUUGUGGUGUCAUUGUAUGUUGAUGACCUAUUGGUGACAGGAGGAGAUGAAGUUGAUUUGGUAGAAUUUAAGACAAAGAUGAAGCAAAUGUUCGAAAUGACUGACCUGGGGCUGAUGACUUACUUCCUAGGAAUGGAAGUAAGCCAGACACAAGAAGGCAUCUUCUUAAAACAGGAAUCAUUUGCUUUGAAGGUGUUGAUAAAGUUUUCAAUGCUGAACUGCAAGCCAACUCCUACACCUGUUGUAACUGGGUUGAAACUAUCAAGCCAUGAGGGUCAUGAAGAAGUCUGUGAAACUACCUACAGAAGCUUGGUUGGUUGUAUUCUAUACUUGACUGCAACGAGACCAGACAUCAUGUUUGCUGUAAGUCUACUUUCUAGAUUCAUGCACUGCUGCAAUGUACAACAUUUUCAAGCUGCAAAACGAGUACUAAGAUAUAUUAAAGGUACUCUAAAUCAUGGUCUCUUGUUUAGCAAGGCUGCAGAACUUAGAUUGAAAGGCUACACAGAUAGUGACUGGGCUGGUUCUAAAGACGAUAUGAAGAGCACAUCAGGGUAUGCUUUCACUUUGGGGUCAGGAAUGGUAUGUUGGAGUUCCAAAAAACAGUCUCUGGUGGCUCAAUCGACUGCUGAGGCCGAGUAUGUAGCUGCUGCUAGUGCAGUAAACCAAGCUAUUUGGCUGAGGAAAAUCUUAGCUGAUUUGAACUUAUCUCAAGUAGAAGCAACAGAGAUACUUUGUGACAACAAAUCUGCUGUUGCAAUUACAAAGAACCCUGUCUUCCAUGGUAGAACUAAGCACUUUGACAUAAAGCUGCAUGUGAUAAGGGAGAUGGAGUAAGCUUGUGAAAUAAAGCUGGUUCAUUGCAAUUCGAAGGAUCAAAUUGCUGAUAUCUUGACCAAGGGUCUUGGUGUGUCGAGAUUCAACAAGUUAAGGAAGCUCAUGGGAGUUUGUAGCAUGGAGCUCAAGGAGGAGUGUUGAAGCUGAUCUCUAUGCAGCUGGUAUGAAGCAAAUGUAGCUGGAAGUUGGCCUUGCAAGCUCGUGACAAGGUUGCAGCAACUAUGGUUACUUGUUGCUGUUAGUUUUCAACUAAUGUUUUGUUAUUUUGUAAUCUAGUUUGUCUCUUGAACUUAGUUGGUAAUAUUUGAUGUAAUCCAUUGAUUGAUUGACUGAAAUUUCAGCAAUACAACUUGGACAAUUAAUUUAGCUAUUUUCAAUGUAAUAGAGUAGGGUUAGGUGUGUGAUUUGGUAGUCAUUUUGACUUGUACACUACAUCUUCUUUUGAUAUAUGUAAUGGCAAUCUGCCUAUGAUGGAUGUAUGAAAAAAAAUACACUUCAUUUUCAUCAAUACUCUCAACUAUUCUUCAUUGCUUCUUCUUCUGUUUUUCCUUUUCUUCUUUUCCUUUGCUCGAUUCCCUCUUGUUUGUUCAGCAAGUAUCGUGACUUGCUGCAAAAGCCAAAGCCAUACUAGCUGCUUGCUUGCUAGAUAACACCAACAAUCGCCCAAGAGAACAUCAGAUAUUUCAUCAUCUAAUUUAUAACAGCAAUUCCACCAAAAGAUGCCUACAAUCAACAAAGUAGCAAACGUUGCUCCGGCCACGAUACCGGCCAUUGCAGCUGUCGAGAUACGAUCAACCUUUUUCGAUGGUUUAUAACCUACUUUAAAAACUUUACAUAUAAGUCAGUUCCAAAGACGACAUGAAAAUCUUGGUUCAGAUCAUUAUGUACAAGUGUUAUUAAGAUAUCAAAAAAAGAACAGAGGUGUAGUUCUAUCCAUGGUUGGAUAUGUAAUUUAAAUUUCUAGAUUAUGUAUGCAAAUUUACUUACAUGUGUUCAUAUGUUAUUAAUUAUUUGGUUUAUCUUAUCCACUCACAUGAGAUAUGGUUAUAAUCCUCCACAAAAUAAUGUAUCAUUAUUGUAAAAUGAGAAAGAUGCUUUGGUAAAGACAUGAGAAAAGAAUCAACAAAGUUUCAUCCUCGUCCAGUAAUGUUUAGAAGAAUUGAUGUUUGUGAAAGUGAUCAAUGCUAUUACCACAAAAGAAGCUUGGAAAAUUUUGUAAAGUUCUUUUUAAGGAGUUGGCAAAGUGAAAAGAUAAAUUUGGAACUUUGUGAAAGAAGUAAUUUGAAAAAAAAAAGGAUUAUUAUUUAAAGAUGUUGGCUAUUGUGAAUCAAAUAAAGAGAUAUGAAGAAACAUUGCAAGAUAAUAAUAUGAACGUAAAUGCUCUUCUUUCCUUGAUUCCAAAAUUUGAUUACGUUAUUUGUGUCAUUGAGUCAAAAUAUUUAGAUUGUAUGGCAGUUGACCAAUAAUGACUGAGUUACAAGAUCAAUAAGAAAAGUUUAAAGGAAGACCAAAUGAGUCAUUGGAGCAAGUUUUCAAAACCAAGUUAUAUUUAAAAGAUAAAUGAAAAGAAAAGCAUAGAAAAGUUGAUGUUGAGGAUGAGAAAGAGGAAGAGGACAUGGCUUUGGCCAAGGUGGAUGUGGAAGAGGUGAUCACAGUAAUUGCAACAAUGAUAGCGGUAACCCGUCAACUAGAAAUUGUGAAAGAGCAAAGACAAAAUUACUUGAGAUUAGACAAAAUGAGGUAUUCAAGUAUAAUGUUAAAUGUUACUUUUACUAUAAAUUUGGUCAUUAAAGUGCCAAAAUGAUAUUAUCAAAAAUGAAGAAAACAUCAAUCUCAUUAAAGAUAAACAAGACGUGGAAGAGCCAACUUUGUUUUUAACACUCAAAAAUGAAGAAAAUGACGAUGGAAACAUUUGAUAUUUUAAAAAUGAUGUAGAGCUUGAAGAAAUGUUAGAGACAAUGACUGACAAUCGGCAGAAGAUGCUGGGCAAGGCUGCUGGCCUGAAGAGUGAGGCUGAUCCGUAACAUCAACUGCAGAAGAAUGAGGUUCGAGUUGAUGAACAGUAGAAGGCCGAAAUACAUCCCCUUUCAUUUGUAAACUUUUCAAAAGUCCAAAUUCAAGGGAAAUAUCAUUCUAAUUUAUUUUUAAGAGAUAGCAUCCAUAGUUUUAUUAUCGAUGUUUAUUACAUUCUUAAGCUAUAAAAUAAUAUUUCGAGUUUAAGAUAAUUUUUUUAAUAAUAAUAUGAAAUUUCACAUGAAAAAUAUUGUUUUUAAUUAAAAGUUUACGGUUCUAACUUGAUUGCAAAGUAUUCAUCUCAAAUAAUGUGAUAUUUAUGUUGGAUUUCAAGAUAAUCGAAAGAAUCAUGAUGUUAGUAUAGGAGGUUUAGUCACUUGAACUUUGGAGCAAUCAGAGUUGUAGGGGAAAAGAAAAUGGUAAAAAGAAUUCUGUAAAUUAACUAUCCUAAUUAAUUGUGUGAGGCAUGUCUUCGAAGCAAGAACGCAAGAAGAGGAUUUUCCUUAAAAACUGACAUUAAAGGCAGUCAAGCCACUUCAACAUGUUCAUAUCGAUGCGUGUGGACAAAGUCAGCUGUCAUCAUUUGCUAAAAACAAAUGCUUUUUUUUUUUAUUCGUUGAUAAUUAUUGUAGAAAAACUUGAGUUUACUUCUUAAAGCAAAAUUUUGAUGCAUUAAAUUUUUUUGAAAACUUUUGUGGAAAAGGAGAGUGGCUAUGUGAUUAAGUCUUUGAGGUUUGAUAAAGGGGAGAAAUUCACUUCAAAAAUGAUUUUUGUUGUUUCAUAAUGAUAAAUUUAGUUUUAGUAUUUAUUUUUUUUGUUAUUUUGGUUUUUAGUAUUUAAAAUUUAGUUAAAUUUUUAAUUUUUGGUUGAAAAAGUUGACUGGACCAUAACAAUUUUAAUGGCAUUAAUGUGUCAAAUUGACAAUGAAGUCUAUUUUAAUAUUUGUAUUUUUUUUUUGUUCACUUUAGUAUAUAAAUUUGAUAGAUAGGUUCAUUUUUAUUUUUGAACUUGGCAAGUGUAAAAGUUUGUUGACAUGGUAAUAUGAUAUUAUGCCGUGUCAUCACUUGAAUUUUCUUUUUAAAUAAAGUGCCAAUUUAUCAAAUUUUUAUGGAUAAAAAAUGGACUUAUUUGUGAAAUUCAAAUACUAAAGGGGAUAAAAAAAGAUAUCAAAAUGAACCUAAUUAUCAAGUUAAGAAGCUAAAAAUUAUAUUAACCCAUCUCCACCCUUAAUCUUAUACAAUUUUUUUAAUUUUUUUUUAUACUAGAUAACAAUCAUAUCCUUUAUUCUUAUGUUUUUAAGAAUUAAAGAAAGUUAUUUUAUUUUAUUCUAAACAAAUUCAAUCUGCGGCUAUAUAAUAAUGAGAGAGGAUAGAAUGAAAUAAAGAUAUUAUUCAUUUUCAAUAAUUUUAUAUCACAUCAGUAAUUUUAUCUUGAAUUUCAGGAUAAAAAUACUGAAAUUCAAGAUGAAAAUAUUAAUGUAACAUAAAAUUAUUAGGAAAGGAAUACACGUUACUGUUUCAUACAAUUCUUUCCAGUAUAAUAAUAUAGAUUCAAAAUAGAGUUUUUAUUCUUUAAAUUUUCGGAUAAAUGCGAUUAAUCGGAGACAAUAAGAGUCGAUGGAAGUUGAAAACCUACCAGGAUUGAAAAUAGAGAUUCCUGAGAUUAGAGGACCGUCAAUGCCUCUCUCGGGGAUAGAAGUUGUCCCUUUUCCAGCCCAUCGGAAAUGAAUCUCCAAAGUGCCAUCGGUUACAUUUGCAUUGAAUCUUUGUACUCUCGAUAGGCCUGCCCCUCCUGCUGCUUCUAUAAUAUUGAAAUCUUGUUUCACCCGCUCUCCCUGCAAUUAUUAUCCAUUCCAUUUCACUUUCCAUGCAAGCACAGGUCGUAAAGCUUAGUUUUAGCAUUUAGCUUAAAUUUUAUUUUUUUUUAAAACACGGGAAUUACUCUUACGAAAAAUUUGACACUCAAUUCAAAUCUGGAUAACAAUAUAUAUAUAUAUAAAGAAUAGUAUAAACUGAAAUUCUAGCAAGAAUGACUGAAAUUCUAGCAAGAAUGAUAAUAGAAAUACCUGAAUGUAAAUAUCGAACAUCCUCUUCCCUAAGCUGCUAUAGGUUUCACCAUUAGUGAACUGAAUCUCGGCGAAAUGGAGGCUUACAUUGUAAGUUGCAUUGGCAAGACAAAAUGCGUAGUAAGUCAAAGAACUAGGCGAAACCCUUGCAUCCGUGUAUAAUUCAUCGCCACCAUUGCUAGAAAGUAUACUACUCUUCAAAGUCAAGACGUCGUCGGGGCGGUUAUUGCUUAGAAAAAUUCCGGUGCUGCUAAAUGCCCAGUUGGUACUUUGGUAAAAUGUCGAAGGCCCAGCUUGAUAGUUAUCGGCUUCGUAAGUGAUGCCAUUAACAGUUAUUUCUCCCCCUCCACAGUUUAUACGGACAAAGUGCAAAGCUGAGGAAAAUAACAAUAGUUUGUAGCAAUCACAUGGAAAAGAGGAGAAAGGAAACUUUAAAGAAUACAACACAAAAAAUAACACACAAGGAAGAAUUAUUUCUGUUAUGAAGGGAUACUUAAAGUUUUUAUUAGACACCUAUUUAACAUGAAUUUAAACUACGUGACCUCAUACCUACCCCUAUAUUAUUUCAAAAAAAGUUUGUCUCACUUUAAUUAGGUGGUUAGUAAUAACAAAUGGCAGCUAAAAAAUUGUUGCUAUAUUUGAUAAGUUUUUUAGUUUAAUCACAUAUAUCAUCAUCCAUUUUACAAUAUGAGCUUAAUCUUGUUUGGAUUGAGUUGUGUUGGGUAUGGGUCCCACUAUGUGGGAAACCCAUAUUUUCUGGCACAAAUGUUUUGCCUUCCUUUUUCUUUUGGUUUUGUCAAAAGCCAAUUUUUUGGCUUAUUAACGGGUGUUGGGCAGAAAUUUUUCUGCAGAGAGCUAAAGAAAAAAUAGAGAGAAAGAGAAUAGAAAAAAUCAGAUUUUCAAGCUUGGUGCAGCAGUGAUCAACUCUUCGAUCGAAGGUCCAUCCGUGGUUCGAUUGAGAUGAUUUUUGGACAGCAGCUAGGUGAUAAGGUGUUCUUGACUUUGUACGGUCGGAUUUUUCAUCCGAGUCUUGUAGCGUCGGAAAUACCCAUUUUUCAGCAGCUACGUUUUUGGUGAUGUUCUCUCAUUUUUCUCUCUUUUGCUAAAGAUUACAUGUUGUUAGCCUUGUCGGAGUUGAAUGCUUGUUGUAGGCUUGAUAUUGUUAUCUUGUAGUUGAACAUUUGAUGAUAGUGGAGCUCUUUAUCGGACUCUAAAGUCCCGUGGUUUUUACCCUUAAUUUAGAGGGGUUUUCCACGUAAAAAUAUUGGUGUCUCUAUUUAUUUUUGUUGUGGUUGCAUUAGUUGAUUUGUGGUUGAUUAAGGUUGCUAGAGAACAUAUCUUGUGCUAUUGUGCUUGCCAUAAUUUUUACAGGAGUUAUAAGGAGAGAAAGAACACCGGUUGUGCUUUCGCUUUGUUUCGGUUGUUCGGUUUCUUCCCAACAAACUGGUACCAGAGCUUGGUUAUUGUGUCAGAUAAUUAUGGAAAUUAAUACGAGCAAGAUGAUUAUGUUGAAUGGCACAAAUUAUCAACUUUGGCGGAAUAAAAUGAAGGACUUGUUGUUUGUGAAGGCUUUGCAUCUUCCGGUCUUUACUACUCAAAAACCCGAUUCGAAAAGUGAUGAAGAAUGGGAAUUUGAGCAUCAACAAGUGUGUGGCUUUAUUCGGCAAUUUGUUGAAGAAAAUGUUUACAAUCACAUUGAUCAGGAGACACAUGCUCGAACAUUGUGGGAGAAGCUUGAAAGCUUGUAUGCUUCGAGGUCGGGCAAUAACAAAUUAUUUUUGCUGAAGAAAAUGAUGGCGCUGAAAUAUAAAGAAGGAAUGUCUAUAGCUGACCAUGUUAGUGAAUUUCAGAGUAUGAUGAAUCAGUUGCUUGGUAUGGGUGUCAAAUUUGAUGACGAGAUUUUAGGACUUUGGUUGCUUGCUACUCUACCAGACUCUUGGGAGACCUUUCGAGUCUCACUCAUUAAUUCUGCCCCACAGGGUAUUAUUACUUUGGAUUUGGCUAAGAGUGGUGUGUUGAAUGAAGAGGUUAGAAGAAGAUCUCAGGGUUCUACAUCACAGUCCGAGGUGUUGGUUAUCGAGAACAGGGGGAGAAACAGAGACAAAGAUGGAAAGGGUAGAGAUAAAAGCCGAAGCAAGUCAAGAUCGAGAUACAAGAAUCUUGAGUGUCAUCAUUGUGGUAAGAAAGGCCAUAUCAAGAAAUAUUGCUUCAAGUGGAAGAAAGAGAACAAAAGUGGUGGUGAUAAACACGACCGGAAUGACGAUGAAAAAUUCGAGCGUGUUACUACUGUUACUCGUGAAGAUUUGUUAGUUAUUUGUGAUGAGAAUUUGGUCAACCUAGCAUGCGACGAGACUAGUUGGGUGAUUGAUACUGGUGCAUCACUUCAUGUCACGUCGAGGAAGGAAUUCUUCACAUCUUAUACUCCUGGUGAUUUUGGGGUAUUGAAGAUGGGUAAUGAUGGUUUGGUUUCGGUUAUUGGUAUGGGAGAUGUUAGCUUGGUAAGUAACAAUGGAACAAAGUUAACUCUCAAGGAUGUCAGACAUGCACCGGAUGUCCGUUUGAAUUUGAUUUCUGCAGGAAAACUUGAUGAUGAGGGAUUCUGUAACACCUUCAGUGAAGGGCAGUGGAAGCUGACUAAAGGCUCCUUGGUUGUGGCUCGAGGAAAGAAGAGCUCAAAUUUGUACUUGAUGCAAGCUUUGACUUCUCGAGAGACGGUGAAUGUGACACUGAAUGACAACUCAACUGAGUUGUGGCAUAAACGACUCAGUCACAUGAGUGAGAAGGGGCUUAGCUGUUUAGCGAAGAAGAAUCAACUUUCGGGUUUAAAGAAUGCUACACUGAAGAAUUGUGCUCAUUGUCUAGCAGGAAAGCAGAAAAGAGUUUCAUUUAGAAGCCAUCCUCCUCAUAGGAAAUCAGAGUUGCUAGAGUUGGUCCAUUCAGAUGUUUGUGGUCCGAUAAAAGUAAGAUCACAUGGUGGUGCACUUUACUUUGUGACUUUCAUUGAUGAUUGUUCAAGAAAGCUAUGGGUUUACACUUUGAAGUCUAAAAAUCAAGUCUUUGAGGUGUUUAAACAGUUUCAAGCAUCAGUUGAAAGGGAAACUGGGAAGAAGUUGAAGUGCAUUCGUACUGAUAAUGGUGGCGAGUACACAGGGUCGUUUCAUGAGUAUUGUCUGCGACAGGGAAUCAGACAUCAGAGAACACCACCAAAGACUCCACAGUUAAAUGGGUUAGCUGAAAGAAUGAACCGAACAUUGAUUGAGAGAGUCAGAUGUUUGUUGUCAGAUGCAAAGUUACCAAGAUCGUUUUGGGCUGAAGCUUUGAAUACAGUGACACAUGUGAUAAAUCUGUCUCCUAGUGUUCCUUUGAAAGGUGAUGUGCCAGAUAGAGUUUGGUUUGGUAAAGACGUGUCAUAUGAUCACCUACGUGUGUUCGGUUGUAAAGCAUUUGUUCAUGUUCCAAAGGAUGAAAGAUCCAAGUUGGAUGCCAAGGCUCGACAAUGCAUUUUUAUUGGUUAUGGUCUAGAUGGUGAGUUUGGUUAUAGACUCUAUGAUCCAGUUCAGAAGAAACUCGUGAGAAGCAGAGAUGUUGUCUUCAUUGAGGAUCAGACCAUUGAUGACAUUGAUAAGACGGAGAAAGUGGAUUCACAAGGUAGUGGUGACUUGAUCGAUGUGAAUCCGGUUCCCUUAGACUCUUCACCAGAUCCUAUCCAGGAUGAUGUGCAUGGUGAUGUUAGUGGUGACCAUCAGACUAUAGGUGACUUUGAUACUCCCAUGGAUGAUGUUGUGAAUGAUCAACAACAAGCACCUAUAGCUCCACCAGCAGUUCCACUUCGAAGGUCUUCCAGAGAUCGACGAUCUUCUGUCAGGUAUUCUCCUGAUGAAUAUGUUCUUUUGACUGACGGGGGAGAACCUGAAUGUUAUGAAGAGGCUAUGGAGAGUGAAUGCAAAGAUCAGUGGGUUGAAGCGAUGAAAGACGAACUUCAAUCCUUGCAUGAGAACCAUACUUUUGAAUUGGUGAAACUGCCUAAGGGCAAAAGAGCUUUGAAGAAUCGGUGGGUUUACAGGUUGAAGCAAGAAGAGAAGUCUUCAUCUCCACGAUACAAAGCUAGAUUGGUCGUCAAGGGUUAUACUCAGAAAAAGGGGGUUGAUUUUGAAGAAAUAUUUUCUCCGGUUGUGAAGAUGUCCUCUAUCAGAACUAUACUGAGUUUAGCAGCUUGUUAUGACCUAGAGGUUGAACAAAUGGAUGUGAAAACUACUUUUCUUCAUGGUGACUUGGAAGAAGAGCUUUACAUGGAGCAGCCAGAGGGUUUUGUUGCACAAGGGAAAGAGGACUAUGUGUGCAGAUUGAAGAAGAGCUUGUAUGGUUUGAAGCAAGCUCCAAGGCAAUGGUACAAGAAGUUUGAGUCUGUUAUGGGGGAGCAAGGCUACAAGAAGACUACUUCUGAUCAUUGUGUGUUUGUUAAGAGAUUCUCUGGUGAUGAUUUUAUUAUUCUUUUGCUCUAUGUUGAUGAUAUGCUUAUUGUUGGUCAGAAUGCUUCUAGAAUUGAGAAGUUGAAACAAGAGUUGAGUAAAUCCUUUGCAAUGAAGGAUUUGGGGCCAGCAAAGCAAAUUCUUGGCAUAAGACUGACACGUGAUAGAAAGGCCAAGAAAUUAUGGUUAUCACAAGAGAGGUACAUUGAGAAAGUACUUCAAAGGUUUAGUAUGGACAAAGCUAAAGCGGUGAAUACUCCCUUUGCUAUGCACUUUAGAUUGAGUGUUAAGCAUAGUCCUUCCACAGAAAAGGAGAAGGAAGAGAUGCAGAAAAUUCUUUACUCUUCAGCCGUGGGUAGUUUGAUGUACGCAAUGGUUUGCACGAGACCAGACUUGGCUUAUGCCGUUGGUACAGUUAGUCGGUUUCUUUCUAAUCCAGGCAGAGAGCAUUGGAAUGCAGUGAAGUGGAUUAUGAGAUAUCUUCGUGGCACUUCCAACAUGAAACUUUGUUUCGGCAAUGAGAAACCUGUUCUUGUUGGGUAUACAGAUUCAGACAUGGCCGGAGACAUUGACUCGAGGAGAUCUACUUCAGGUUACUUAAUCACUUAUGCAGGGGGAGCUGUGGCAUGGCAAUCGAGACUGCAAAAGUGUGUUGCAUUGUCCACCACCGAAUCAGAGUUCAUUGCAGCAACCGAAGCGUGUAAGGAGAUGCUUUGGAUGAAGAAGUUUGUGCAUGAGCUUGGUUUUACUCAGGAGAAGUAUGUCCUGUACUGUGAUAGCCAGAGUGCUAUUCAUCUUGGUAAGAACUCAACUUUUCAUGCUAGAUCUAAGCAUAUUGAUGUGAGGUACCAUUGGAUACGAGAUGUUCUUGAAGCUAAGCUGUUAGAGCUUGAGAAGAUACACACUAAUGAUAAUGGUGCUGAUAUGUUGACGAAGGCCUUACCAAGAGGAAAAUUUGAAGCAUGUUGUUUGACCUCCGGUAUGGAGGCAUUCCCCACAUAGUUGGAGGGGGAGAUUUGUUGGGUAUGGGUCCCACUAUGUGGGAAACCCAUAUUUUCUGGCACAAAUGUUUUGCCUUCCUUUUUCUUUUGGUUUUGUCAAAAGCCAAUUUUUUGGCUUAUUAACGGGUGUUGGGCAGAAAUUUUUCUGCAGAGAGCUAAAGAAAAAAUAGAGAGAAAGAGAAUAGAAAAAAAUCAGAUUUUCAAGCUUGGUGCAGCAGUGAUCAACUCUUCGAUCGAAGGUCCAUCCGUGGUUCGAUUGAGCUGAUUUUUGGACAGCAGCUAGGUGAUAAGGUGUUCUUGACUUUGUACGGUCGGAUUUUUCAUCCGAGUCUUGUAGCGUCGAAAAUACCCAUUUUUCAGCAGCUACGUUUUUGGUGAUGUUCUCUCAUUUUUCUCUCUUUUGCUAAAGAUUACAUGUUGUUAGCCUUGUCGGAGUUGAAUGCUUGUUGUAGGCUUGAUAUUGUUAUCUUGUAGUUGAACAUUUGAUGAUAGUGGAGCUCUUUAUCGGACUCUAAAGUCCCGUGGUUUUUACCCUUAAUUUAGAGGGGUUUUCCACGUAAAAAUAUUGGUGUCUCUAUUUAUUUUUGUUGUGGUUGCAUUAGUUGAUUUGUGGUUGAUUAAGGUUGCUAGAGAACAUAUCUUGUGCUAUUGUGCUUGCCAUAAUUUUUACAGGAGUUAUAAGGAGAGAAAGAACACCGGUUGUGCUUUCGCUUUGUUUCGGUUGUUCGGUUUCUUCCCAACAAGUUGUAUUUAAAUAGCAUUCGAACUUGACUUAAAUACUAGAGAAAAAGUCCACUUUCAUUUUAUUAUCCAUAUUCUGUAAAUCUUUAAAUAGAAGAUAAUACGAGUUUAAAUAUGAUAAAAUUAAUGUCCUUUUAAUUAUUACGAUAACAAUAAUAUCAUCUAAACUAAGUUGAAUUAGCAAAUGUAUAUCGGCAUUAACAUAGAUGAAAUGUCACAAGCAAUUCUGAAUAUCUAACAAAUAUGAAACUUGUACUCACGCUCGGCUGCGCAGUUAAUUUGGCUUCUCAAACAUGGAACAAUUCCUCUAAUAAAACAAUUAAAAAGCUUAGGCAUUAAAAUCCCAGAACUGAAGUGGCUGAAAGACAAAAAAUUAGUUUAAUGAUUGUUGUUGUGUUAACACUUACGAGUUAUUGACUCUUGCAAUGCUUGCGAACAAGUUCCUGCAGAUCCACAAUCAACCACAAAUGAUAUAUAUACAACCAUUUACAACAAAGAUCCACUAAUGGAGUUAGAGGAGAAGCUUGUCAUACACGGUAUUACUUUUUUGACAGCUUGAUUCACCUGUGUCAUUGAAGUUGUUGUAUGAAAGAUCCCUGCAAAGAGAAUAGUUUAGAAUAUUAUUUUCAUUAAGAGUCUGCAGGUAUAUUCAUAGAUAUCUCUAUUAAAAGCUUGAUAUCGGCAAGAAGUCUAUUAAAGACUGAUGAAUAUUAUUUUGGUUAAUCAAACUUGUUAAGCAUAUAAUGAAUGGAAUUCAACAUUAAAUAAGAAGUGAAUAUAUCUUACAUUUUUUCCUUUGUGUUCAAUAUCCAUUGAGGGACUGAUCCAGUAAAAUUGCUUCUAUUUAAGAACCUAAUAAAAGGAAAUCAUCACGCUUUUCUUUUUAUUUCCAUUUGUUCCAAAUGAGUAUAUAAAUAAAGGAAAAGGGAAGUCUACACUACAACUAAAAACCCUCCUUACAAAUAAUCCAAAUUAUAAAGAGUAGAAAGACUUUCUGGAAUUUCUCCACUGAGUCUAUUAAAGCUGAGAUCUCUACAAGAAAAAUUAUAAAAAUGAUGUUAAAACCACAUGUUAUAAAAAAUUUUCAAUUUAUCUCUUGAAUAAUCUACGUACAAAUAAGGAAAGGCCAAAAAAAAAAAAAACCAACAAUGCAUCAAAAUUCACAAGUAAUUAUGUCCUAAUACAAGUUAGGAAUGAAAGAAAAGAGGUUGCAAAUAUUGAAAUUCCAUUUCUACAAUCCAAGUGUUAAAAAAGAUAUGAGCAAACUAAACUUGAACCUCUCAAAAAACUUUCUUUUUACUUUUUUAGUGUAAAAGAAGAAAAUGUAAUGACUUACAAUAUCUUUAUUGUAGUGAAUGUCCCUAAAGAAGCAGGUAUCUCUCCAAUGAGAUUGCAAUUCCUCAACAUCCUGUAAUUCAAUCAUAAAUUAAUUCUAAUAUUCUUUUAAAACUCCUCAAUAUCUCAUAACUUUAAUAAACCUUUGCUUUAUUUCAAAGCCAUGCUUACAGUCUAUCCAAUUUAGGCAAUCUGGCAUUGAUAAAUAGUUGUGGAAAACUUGUUUCAGCUCCAUUCAAGUCACUAAUUAUUCUGUAAAACAAUAUCAAAAACCAUAUACAAACAUACAUAAGAAAUUAAAUUUUGUUUAUUUUUAACGUAAUGAACAUUGUCACGAUGUUUUAAGAUUAUUGGAGCUUACAUGUAUUCUAAGUUUUCUAAAGUAGCAUUAAUGGAUGGAAUUGGACCACUCAAACCACUUCCCUCCAUAUAUCUGCCAUUACAAAAAAGAUGGAUUCAUUUAAUUGAUUGAUAAAAUAAAAAAUAAAAAAUUAAAUAAAGAAAAUGUUGAAUUAAAUUCUCACGUCUGUUCGAGAUUUGUCCAAUUUUGGAAUAUGAAGUCAAGAAUCUGUCCUGUAAAGUUAUUGUUACUAAUCCGACUGUUGAGAAUACAAAAUUAUCAUAACUAUAUCAUGUAAAAUAUAUUGAAAAUUACGAAUGAUAUGUAUAAAAUACACUUUAUCCAAACAUAUAUAUAUUCAGACAUGAGAUAAAUUAGUAAAAACGAACGUUAGAAAUUAGAAUUGCUUACAAUUCCUUCAAUGAAGUCAGCCUUGCAAAUACUUCAGGUAUUUCACCAGUAAAUUUGUUGGAACUAAGAUGCCUGAAAAAACCAAUCAAUAGAUCUUAAAUCGUUAAUGUGAUAAAAAUACUGCAUAUAUAAUGAAAUGAAAUUCAACUAGAAUUAAAAAGGAAGAAAACAGUCUCUUACAAUCGCUCAAGUUUGGAUAGAUUCCCUAGUGCUGCAGGCAAAGUUCCAAAAAGAUCAUUGUUCUCAAGGAUUCUACAUAAUGUUUUUUCGAUAAAUAAAAUUAACUAACCACUAAACAAUCAUUAAAAAAAUGAAAAAAAGUUAUCAUCACCUUAUAUAUUUAAUUAUAUAAAAGAAAAUUGAUAUAAGCUAACUCACAAAGAAGUAAGAUUUCUGAGAUUUGCUAGCUCUCCUGAGAUUGAACCUGUUAAUCUAUUUCCAAGAAGGGAACUGAAAUACAACACAUCUUUUGCAUUUAGCAACAUCAUAUUUCAUAAUCAAAAGAUGAACUAUUGUAUGUUUCUACAUAUGCAUAGACACAGAUAAGAAAUUAAAGGAAAGAAACAUACAUGCUGACGAGUCGCAUAGAACCCCAUUCUGGAGGAAUGGGGCCACUAAGAUAGUUUCGAGUUAGGUCACUGUAAGAAAUCAUUUAAAGCAAGAUAUUAUUAGACAUAUAGUUAAUUAAUUGAUGUAAAGUUGUUGAAAAAAAUAAAAUUCAUUUAUAUAUCAUGAAAAAGAAAAUUUUGAAAUGUCCUUACAUUUUUUGCAGGAAAGGAAGACUUGUUAAGUUUGGUGGUAGAGUACCCAGGAGAUUUUGUGCUGUGAGUAAUCUGAUACAAAAACAAAGCGAGGGUUAUAUUGCUGAAAUCUUAAUGAAAAAAAUCGCAUUCAGAAUCAAUGUUUGUUUCAUCAAGUAGUAAAACUUUGGUAAUCAAAAGUCAUACUUUAAUUUUCUCAGUACUAACUUUGCUUAAAAUUGUAUAAUAUCCACUAGUUACAAAUGUAUUAUUUAUUUUUUUAGAUUUAGAUUGAUAAAUGAUUUUUAAGCUUUGUUGAAUCAAGGGAAAGAGUUUUACGUUGCCUAUUUUCGUUUUUGGAUUCAAAUUUUCUCUAUAGAAGAAUAAUAAGAGAGUAUUGUUUUAUUUGUAAAAAUAAGAUUUGAAAUAAAAUUUUAUUAACUAGAAUCUAUCAUAUCAAAUCAUCAAAAAUAAAAUUAAAUGAGAAAGCAUACCUAAAUCCAUUGAUUUCUUGGUUUUAAUAUUCAAAAUUAGCAUUUUUUUUCUAAAGAUGAGAUGUUAAGAAAAGUUAACUAUAUGUUAUUUGGGGACCAUAAAUUGAAUAGCGCUGUGUCUAAUUUACAUAUAUUUGUUUUUUUUUAUAAUUUAUGCAAAUACUUUAAUAAUUAUUAGGAUUUUUUUAUUAGCUUUACAUUUCAAUUAUCAAAGUAAUUUAUAUAUUUUAAUUAAUUUUCUUAGUUAAUAUUUUGAAUAAUCUUACUUUGAAUUAUUAAUAAAGUAAAUCUAUAUUGUACAAUGAACACUGGACAAAUGUUUGACUUAUGAUUUUAAUUUUAAAUACUAUUAAAAAUUAUCGAUCUACAAUAUAUAAUUUUUUUAAUAUAAUAUGAAUGCUCUAAUUAUUAUUUGAAAAUAUUUUAUUUUAUAUUUGAAUUGUCAAAUAAGUUAAUAUAUUUUAAUUAUAUUCAACAAUUCAAUUAAGAAAUUUAAAAAAUAAGUACAAUAAUUAUAAAUACUCUAUUUAAAACUUUGAUUAAAAAUGUUAAACAUAAAAAAUCAUGUGCAGCGUAUGUGACUUUCAAUAUUUUUAGAAUCUAACUAUUAAUCAACCUAAUUAGAUCAUCAAUUUGUUGGUUCGAUUAGUUCAUAUAACCUAAUUAAAUAAAUUAUUAAAAAAAUUUAAAAAAAACAAUUAAAUCGAUUUAUAUUGAACCUUGAAUCAACUAAUUUGAUAUUACUUUAUAGACUAAUAAUUCAAUCGAUUUUUAAUUUAACUGAUUUAAUUAACUAAUUCAAUCUAAUUGAGAAGUGACAUUAGAAACUAGUCAUAGAACAAAAAAUGCUAGUGUAUAUAUAUAUAUAUGAUAUUAAAAGGCAAUAAUGUAGAAGACUUAUAUUGGAUGGUAACUUGCUAACCAUUUUCAAAAGCUAGAGAGAGAGGGCAAAUCAAAUGAAAUCGGCAGCCAACAUGCGAUGUGGAUUCUGUUGAAUAGUCAGCAGUGGCUGUUAAAUUAAUUGUACUACCUUGCUAUCCACUUCCCACUACACCUAUCGGGCAUCGGCUCCAUUCAUGGAUUUUGAUUUGACAUUUAUCGAAUUAAAAUUAAAUAAUAAUACAUUUAAAUUCAAUUAUAAAAAUAUUUUAAUAAUUUAUUUAUUUUUAAAAUAUUAAAAAUGUGUCGAAUUGGAUUUUUUUUAUAAAAAUAUAAUUAUAUAGAAUUCGUUGUUAUUAAUAUACUAAUCAUAUCACAGGCUUUUAGCUUUUAUUAAAAUAAUUACAUAAAUAAUUUUAAAAUAGAACUAAUCUAUGUAGUUUUAUAAAAUUUUAAAUUUAAUUCUUAUAUUUUAAAAAUUAAAAAUCAAAUCCUCUUAUUCAUUUUUUUUUUAGCUUUUGUUAGAAUUUCUUAACUGAACAUAUUUGUUUCUUCUUUUUUUAAAUCACAUACAACAUCAUCAUAUUAGGAUAGCCUAAUUAAUAUGCUAAGUUGAUAAAUUUUGAUAAAAAUAUAAACAAAAUUAUAAUGAUUGGACUAAAAAUUUAAAAUUAGAAAAUUAGGACUUAAUUUUUGAAUUUUUAAGUAUGAUAACUAAAUUUUAAAUUUUAUCUAAGUAUAGGAACUAAGUGUAUAUUUUAACCUAUUAAUAAAUCUAAAAUUAAUGUUAUGGGAGGUGGUUUAGGGUUUACAUAAUUAAAGUUGAAUGUAGCAAGGAUAAUAAAAUUAUUUAUGAGAGAAGCAUUUUUUAUAGUGCAUUAAUUUUAUGUGAUAUUUUUUUCUUAAAAAUCCACAUUUUAUGUAGAUGUUGUUUUGGACACUGUUUCGUUUGAUCCGUUAACUUAGAGGGUUCUUUUUUCGGGUUAAAUUAACUUGUAUAUUCUUUAAUCCAUCAACACCUAUAAACUAAAUUUUGAAAAAAAAAAUCUUUUCAAUUAUUUUUUAACCAAUAAGAAAUAAUAGUGUAAUGCAUGUAAGUUCUUACCAAAAAAAAACCCUUAGGUAAUAACCUUAAGGUAGCAUAUUAUCAAAUAUCAUUUAAGUUUUUUAUUGUACAAUGUUCUUUCAAGUUGACUCACUUUCAUCUUUUAGUUGGAUUUUUAACAUAUAUAAUAUCAAAUCUUAAGCAUUAGCACAUGAUAAUUACACUUAUACAUAGAGUCAAUUCAAAUGACGUCCUCACAUAUUUGUAAAAUCUCAACUCUCUCUCACUUCUAAUAAAUUUUAGAUAUGCUUAAUAAAACCAUAUAUAAUCCAUGAACAAAUCUAACAAGUUUAGUCACAGCUCAAUAGUGGACAAGUUUUCAUUAUAAGAUAAAUAUAUAUACUUACAUGUGAAUGACAUGGC
rnacentral:lncRNA from 1 species